GUGUUUUGACCAUACCACUGUGUAGAGGAGGAAGAGACGAAGCCAACGGUGAAAACGACGUCAAAAUCGGACGUCGGACAUGGCCGCACUCUCCAUCACUCUCCGGCAAGGCGUCUGUCUACGCGCGCAGACGCGCCCCACGCGUCUUCUUCACCCGGAUGAGUUGACCCGACCCGAAUACCAGUUGACCCGACCCAUGUGGCUGACCCGGAUAAGG
rnacentral:lncRNA from 1 species